AGAGGAAGUAAAAGUCGUAACAAGGUCUCCGUUGGUGAACCAGCGGAGGGAUCAUUGCUGGAACGCGCCCCGGCGCACCCAGAAACCCUUUGUGAACUCAUACCUUUAGUUGCCUCGGCGCAUGCCGGCCCCGCCCAGGGGCCCCCCGGAGACGGGGAGCAGCACGCCGGCGGCCAAGUUAACUCUUGUUUUUAAACCGGAACUCUGAGUACAAAAACAUAAUGAAUCAAAACUUUCAACAACGGAUCUCUUGGUUCUGGCAUCGAUGAAGAACGCAGCGAAAUGCGAUAAGUAAUGUGAAUUGCAGAAUUCAGUGAAUCAUCGAAUCUUUGAACGCACAUUGCGCCCUCUGGUAUUCCGGAGGGCAUGCCUGUUCGAGCGUCAUUUCAACCCUCAAGCCCGGCUUGGUGUUGGGGCACUGCUCCGAGAGGAGCAGGCCCUGAAAUCUAGUGGCGAGCUCGCCAGGACCCCGAGCGCAGUAGUUCAUUCUCGCUCUGGAAGGCCCUGGCGGUGCCCUGCCGUUAAACCCCCAACUUCUGAAAAUUUGACCUCGGAUCAGGUAGGAAUACCCGCUGAACUUAAGCAUAUCAAUAA
rnacentral:rRNA from 1 species